rnacentral:rRNA from 1 species
GACGAACGCUGGCGGCGUGCCUAAUACAUGCAAGUUGAGCGAUGAAGAUUGGUGCUUGCACCAAUUUGAAGAGCAGCGAACGGGUGAGUAACGCGUGGGGAAUCUGCCUUUGAGCGGGGGACAACAUUUGGAAACGAAUGCUAAUACCGCAUAACAACUUUAAACAUAAGUUUUAAGUUUGAAAGAUGCAAUUGCAUCACUCAAAGAUGAUCCCGCGUUGUAUUAGCUAGUUGGUGAGGUAAAGGCUCACCAAGGCGAUGAUACAUAGCCGACCUGAGAGGGUGAUCGGCCACAUUGGGACUGAGACACGGCCCAAACUCCUACGGGAGGCAGCAGUAGGGAAUCUUCGGCAAUGGACGAAGGUCUGACCGAGCAACGCCGAGUGAGUGAAGAAGGUUUUCGGAUCGUAAAACUCUGUUGGUAGAGAAGAACGUUGGUGAGAGUGGAAAGCUCAUCAAGUGACGGUAACUACCCAGAAAGGGACGGCUAACUACGUG